rnacentral:lncRNA from 1 species
GUCUAAACUAUAAUCCAUAGAAUUUUUUAAUAAUUUGCCAAAAUGUAGUUUAUAUCCUGCUUGUUUAAAAACAUUAAUAAAAAGAAUGGGUCACACGACUUAUUUUCACACUACAGGUUGUAUAGAUUAUGCAUGGAAAACCCAAUUUUCCGCCAUAAAACAAAAACUGCACCAUAGAAUUUUGAGAUAAAACAUGAGAACAUAGCUCCAAUAUUAUGCUUUCAGAUAAGAAAAAGAAAAAAUUGGGUCACCGGACUCGUUUUCUUGAUACAUAAUAAAAUGGGUAAAUUCCUAAACAUAUUCUAUUGUAAAAGUAAUGCUAUCUGAAUUAUCUGCCCUUGUAUUUGAGUUGGCUC